rnacentral:lncRNA from 1 species
CCACCAACGAGUGGAGCCGUUCCGAUAUAGAGUCCCACAACCCUUGCUUAGCCCCAUCAUCACAAGGCGCAUAAACAUUUGCCACAAGAAACUCUUCCCCUGUCUUGGAAAACCGGCCAUGGCACCACAGAACAUGCUCACGACUUUCUGUUGACCACACCUCCACCUCAGAAGAGUCCCACAACGUUAGUAGUCCCCCUGAUGCCCCAACCGAAGGGCGAUAAG